AAUUCUCAAUCUAUAAGCCUUUGCGGGUCUAUAGACUUGGAUUUGGAGGCUUUGCCGGCUUUAAAACGUCGGCUCCUCUUAAAUGCAUUAGCUCGAUUCCUUGCGGAUCGGCUCUCGGUGUGAUAAUUGUCUACGCCGUGACCGUGAAGCGUUUGGCGGGCUUCUAACCGUCUCAUUAGAGACAGCUUCAUUGAC
rnacentral:misc_RNA from 1 species